CGAGCCCCGCUGAGUUACUCCUCUUGCCACGCGUUCCGGUUUUGACAGACUGCAUCGUUUGCUGUGUUGAUGUAGCAGGAUUCCACACACUAUGAAUAUUCACGGCGCAUGUUAAAUUAACCAGACUUCAAGGGACAGCGAAAUUGCUUCAAACCAAUCUCAUCAUGUGAAAAAACAAUUAACAGCGUUUCCAGGAGAGGAACAUUCUAGAUCUAUCCAGGC